ACGGUGGAGGGAGGUGGGAGGCCGAGACGGCCCCGGGGGUCGGCGGAGACCCAGCGGGAGCAGGGGGAAAUCGGAAGAGCUGGGGGCAUGGAGCGGGCGAGUUUGGAGCGGAAUGAGCCGGGAGCCCUACGUUGUGGAAGGAAGACAACAGUAUAGGACCAUCAGCAGGACCGGACAGAGAGGGGCACCCCUGGCUGUCCUGGAACUUGUAGACCAGGCUGGCCUUGAACUCAGAAAUCCGCCUGCCUCUGACUCCCGAGUGCUGAGAUUAAAGGUGUGCACCACCACACCCGACAAGGAAGCCUGUUUUAAGAAGUGAUUCCAUGGAGGAGUUCUGCGGCGGCUCAGGGCUUGACUAAACAGUGGACCUCAGACAAGAGAGGCUAAACCAGGCUGCAGGUGACAGGAAGAAUUGAAUAAACUGAAAGCAAAGGGCAGCCUUCUAAUUACGCUUCGUGGCUAUGUGGACAACCUGGAGAAGUCUGGAAACACCCGAGGGUGAAGGAUGAGGAGGAUGGAAGAAAAUGGGAGUGGCGCUUGCUGCAAAGGGUCUCGAAGGGUCUCAGCACCUGCGAACUGGCUCCAAUCCAAACUCCACUAUUCAUGGUCAAGUUCACAUAGGGCUUGGGGUUCUAACAAGAUGUGACUAAACUUACGUUUUCUAUCUUAUUGAUUGUUGUUGAUGCACGUCUGGUGGUACAUGCUUGAAGAACACAGACACCCUGAGAAGAAAGACAUAGCUCCCCAGAUUCCAGCACGCACUUCUCUGUGAGCUACCACUGUAGCUGAAGAUACAGGGCUCAGGAGGAACACUUGGCCUUCGCUCUGAACUUCAGGCCCACGUAACCAUCAGCCGACAUGACACUGCAAAGGCACCUUAGCUCUGCUGUCCCAGAUGGCCAAGCCAACCUUAUUCCAGAAGCUACUUCUCCUGAUGUAAGAACCAGACACAAAGGACAACCUCUGCCUCACCCUCCUUCACACAACACUGAGUCUGUCAUCUUUGAAGCAUUUCUCAAGCCAUGUUUAUUCCCCUGGCCUACGUGGAACACAGCCAGGGUACGGAACACAACCUCAGCACCGGUCUGCUUUCCUCUCCCCAUUUCUGGUCUUUCUCAGAUGCCCAGAGCUCCUCUGUCCCAAUGACUGCUUAUCAAAGAUCUCACUGUGUCCCCACCCAAGGGGUCUUUGGCCACCCUGUGAAGUCCUAGUGGCCUGGAGUUUGCCCCCUUUCCCAGACACCUUAGGGUUCCUGCUGCAGCUCCAGAACUGGGGGAGCAGGGUUGGGGGUGAGUGUGUGUGUGUGUGUGUGUGUGUGUGUGUGUGUGUGUGUUGACUCACCCUGCAGUAUUCUCUCCAUCUGCACAGGUCCCCAGUCUCUGAGACUGAAUCACCCCUCUUUCACUAUGCCUCUGCACAGCUGCCCUUGUGCUCCCUCUCCUUGCCCCGCCUCUUUUUAAGACAGUAUUAUGCAGCCCUGGCUGUCCUGGAACUUAUGUAAACCAGCCUGGCCUUGAACUUGCAGAGAUCCACCUGCCUUUGCCUCUGCCCCUGCCCCUGCCCCUGCCCCUGCCCCUGCCCCUGCCCCUGCCUUUCUGCCUCUGCCUCUGCCUCUCUGCCUUUCUGCCUCUGCCUCUCUGCCUCUGCCUCUCUGCCUCUGCCUCUCAAGUGUCAGGGAUUAAUGCCUGCCACCUCCCCAGUCCCACCCCUCUCCAUCUACCAUGUGGGUUCCACGGGGCAAACCCAAGUCAUCAGGCUUGUUGGCCAGUGCCUUUAUCCACUGAGCCAAGCCGCUUGGUGUGUCUUUGAUGGUGAUUAUUUACAGGAGCUAUUCAGCAAGGUUAAAUGCUGGCAACCCAAUGAGGGGGUCUCUUGAUCCAAAACUGAGAAGUUGAGGCACUAUUUCAGAAUGACCAAAGACAGUAGAAGAAUCUAGAUAUGUCGAUGAUGAGAACAAUGAUAACUCCAAAAGCUGAGGGAAAUUAACUCAAAAUCUUCCAGCUUCCUUUUCCUUACCUAGUUUGGCGGACUCCAACUCUUGGGAUAGCUUUUUUUCUGGCCCCAAACUCACCUGAUUCGUCUGUCCACUGCCACACUGAAGAAUGAACAGCUGUCUCAGAGAGCUUGGCUCCAGAGCUCUGCAAAAAGAGGACACCUUGCCUUGAGCUGUGUUUCCAGAAUGUAUUGCAGCCCCCAGAGUCAUGUACUGUGACCAGGUGAGGACAUGCAUCUUCUGUUCUCCUGCACCCAGGGCCCCAGCAACCAAGGAUCUGGGGACAUGGCGGGUGUUUGGCAGGUUCGCACUCUGAAAAUAUUUGAUGAGACUCAGUAUAUGCUAAAUAAACACUGGAUCAA
rnacentral:lncRNA from 1 species